CAUCUGUCAUGUAUGUAUCAUCAGGAAAUGGUAAUAGAUAUUACUGAUUUUCAUGCCAUAGGUUAUAACACUUUUAGUGAAUUUCCCAUGUCAUCUGCAGAGAACAUGCAUUAAUGUUUUCUAUUUGGUGAUGGAUUAGUAAUGCUUGUGCUGAUUAAUGAUUGAUAUGAAAAGUAUUUCAGGUUAACACUGUGUCAAGAGUAACGAAGACUGCCAUGUUUACUUAGAUUCUUAAAUUGCACUGAAGUGAUCGUGGCACUAAAUUUUGCAUCAGACAUCGCUCUCCCAGGAUGGCAGCCAUUGAUUUGACGCAUGAUCUUUCUAGAGAUCCUUUUUUUCUUCCUGAGGUAAACACAGAGACAGAAAAGAUGGUAGCUGUCUGGCUGAAAAAUUAUCAUCAGGUAAUUUUAAAGAAGCAUAUCAGUCAACAGAAUGAAU
rnacentral:lncRNA from 1 species